UAUUUGAACUGUGGAAGGAUAGAAAUGUGAAAACAAGAGCGAACGGAGAGAACGCGGCAGGUAGCGCCGCCGCCCGCCGUUCUUCUCCCAUCAGCCGACAUCCUCCACCACUCGAUCCUUUGGCAGAGGAGCGAUGGAUUCUGGAGAACAUAUACGUUCCAUCUGGAGGUGAAGCGCCGUAUUCUUCCCCUUGAGCGAGAAGCCGGAAGUGGAGUUUACGGCAAGUCGAGCACCAGCACACCGAGGCAGAAACAAUAUACUACUAGUCCAAAAGAUAGGGAAUGCAAGGUUGGCAAGGAGGAUAUAUUUGUUCGAUGUAGCAGCCAUAUCCAUGACUAAGGAAGAAGGAAACUCUGAUCAGUGGAAUUGGUUUUACUUCCAAGAUCAAAAUAAAUCUGAUCGGUGCAAUAGAUUCUACUCCCAAAGAUUAACCACUGAGUGAUCGGUGCUUAUAUUCAUUGCUAUGUCAAAACAACCAACACUGCUUGUCUUCUUCAACAGGGAAGAAAAGUAGGGCACAGAGAUCAACUCACCGACGAAGGAGCUCUCUUGUCAUUCUCCAGUGCCACAAUCUGUUUAUCCUUGAACAUGCUUGAGCAUUCAUCUACAGUUGGCUUAAAAACUUUGAUAGCAGAGUUGCACCAGGCAUGAGAAAGCAGAUCAAGGGAUGCUUCAGGCCCUGUGGCUUUCAUCUCUAAGUCCAUCCAAUUCAGGAAGCCGACAACUCCAGGAGGAUCUGUAUUGGUUUAUGAGUUCUAUAUACAAUAUACAACAGAAUGAAGUGGGUCUACAGGGAACCCGAUGUUUCCUAUAGUUAAUGAGGUGUUCAUGCAUCUUUGAAAGAACAAGGUUUUCCACAUGACCAGCAUAAUUAGUGCAUCAGGAAAGCUAUUAGCUAUGACCCUUGCCUAGAUAAAGGGAGCACAUAAACAAAAUGGGAUUAGAGAUGGGAUGGAUCAUUACCACCAUCCAUGCUUGUGUACUUAAGAGAAGGAUGGAAUCAAAUGGGACCCUUCUGGAUAUGAAAUAUCUUUAUUAAAAUGGUCAGACUAUGCAGCCACCAGUCCUUAUUCAUGUCUAAACACUUUGUUGGGAGCCACUACCUUCAUUACCUUAGCCACCUAAAAUAUGUGAAAGCAAAAGGAAAAGGUGUGAUACAUGAUGUUGCGGAGCUCUCGAGCCUGACACCCGAACAUCUCCAGAGAAGAUGCCAAUGAUUUGUUUAUUAUAAAGAUGGUCCUUGGUCAUGAGUUUCUUGAUCAUCUCAUUUUCAAGCAAAGCUCAUUUCCAACUGUGGCUGAUACAUCUUGAGUUGCAAGAAUGAGAGUUACCUUUGCAUCGGUUGGCACCUUUUUUGUACGAGUAUGUUGGGUAAAGUGAAGUAUAUAUAACCUGUCUCUUAGUGUUUUGAAGAGUACUACUUGAACUUAUGGAAGUCAUCAUUGUCCAACCAAAUGCAGUGUCAUUUGGCAUCCUAGAAAAUGUGUAUGUGCUGCUGUGGUUAUCUGUGCCUAUUGCUUUAUUAGGUGAUGGAAGGACAACAGUGCUUAUUGCAGUAGCUACUAGAAAAUUGCUUUA